UACGUAGGGUGCGAGCGUUAAUCGGAAUUACUGGGCGUAAAGCGUGCGCAGGCGGUUUUGUAAGCCAGAUGUGAAAGCCCCGGGCUUAACCUGGGAAUGGCAUUUGGGACUGCAAGGCUUGAGUGCGGCAGAGGAGACUGGAAUUCCUGGUGUAGCAGUGAAAUGCGUAGAUAUCGGAAGGAACAUCAGUGGCGAAAGCGACUUCCUGGACCAAUACUGACGCUCAUGUGCGAAAGCGUGGGGAGCAAACAGG
rnacentral:rRNA from 1 species